UCUCCUCUCUCCCCUUCUCCAUCUAUUCUCUCUCAGAAAAAAGCAUGAUCCGCAGCGUAUACAAAUACGUAGCCGUAAUUGGCCGCGCACACGAAUCCGUUUCCGUGAUUCGCCGCGCACUCAACUCUGAAGCCAAACAACCAGUCAAGUACGACAUGGGGUCAAGAUCAUCCGGCGAGGGGCUUGAAUCAAACAGCGGCCGCGAUUGAUGAUGAUAGCAAGGCAGAAGAAUUCAAUGAAGGAAUGGCUGCUGGCUCUGGGACUAAACUCACACCUGAAGAAGAAGAAGCAAAACUUAGAUAUGGUCCUUGUGAACGUUGUGGAAAGGAGAAA